UUCCGGUUGAUCCUGCCGGAGGCUACCGCUAUUGGAGUUCGAUUAAGCCAUGCGAGUCUAAGGGAUACUUGUAUCCCUGGCAUAAUGCUCAGUAACACGUGGAUAAUCUGCCCUCAGGUGAGGAAUAAACCCGGGAAACUGGGGCUAAUACCUCAUAGACACAGAAAGCUGGAAUGCUUCUGUGUUCAAAGCUCCGGCGCCUGAGGAUGAGUCUGCGGCCUAUCAGGUUGUAGUCAGGGUCAUGACCUGACUAGCCAACGACGGGUACGGGGUGUGAGAGCACUUGCCCGGAGAUGGUUUCUGAGACACGAAACCAGGCCCUACGGGGCGCAGCAGGCGCGAAAACUUCGCAAUGCGGGAAACCGUGACGAGGGAACUCCAAGUGUCUAUGCAUUGCAUAGACUGUUUUUUAGCCUAAAUAGCUAAAAGAGUAAGAGGUGGGCAAGACCGGUGCCAGCCGCCGCGGUAACACCGGCACCUCGAGUGGUAGCCACUAUUAUUGGGCCUAAAGCGUUCGUAGCCGGUUUGGUAAAUUCUUGGGUAAAUCGUACAGCUUAACUGUGCGGAUUCCGGGGACACUACCAGACUUGAGACCGGGAGAGAUCAGAGGUACUUGUAGGGGAGCGGUGAAAUGUUGUAAUCCUACAGGGACCACCAGUGGCGAAGGCGUCUGAUCAUAACGGCUUUGACGGUGAGGAACGAAACCCUGGGGCGCAAACGGGAUUAGAUACCCCGGUAGUCCAGGGCGUAAACGCUGCUGACUUGGUGUUGGAGAUCCUACGAGGGUGUCCAGUGCUGGCGCGAAGGCAUUUAGUCAGCCGCCUGGGGAGUACGGUCGCAAGGCUGAAACUUAAAGGAAUUGGCGGGGGAGCACCGCAACCUGAGGAUUGUGCGGUUUAAUUGGAGUCAACGCCGG
rnacentral:rRNA from 1 species